rnacentral:rRNA from 1 species
AACGAACGCUGGCGGCAUGCCUAACACAUGCAAGUCGAACGAACCCUUCGGGGUUAGUGGCGCACGGGUGCGUAACGCGUGGGGAUCUGCCCUUUGCUUCGGAAUAACAGUUAGAAAUGACUGCUAAUACCGGAUGAUGUCGCAAGACCAAAGAUUUAUCGGCAAAGGGAUGAACCCGCGUAGGAUUAGCUAGUUGGUGGGGUAAAGGCCUACCAAGGCGACGAUCCUUAGCUGGUCCGAGAGGAUGAUCAGCCACACUGGGACUGAGACACGGCCCAGACUCCUACGGGAGGCAGCAGUGGGGAAUAUUGGACAAUGGGCGAAAGCCUGAUCCAGCAAUGCCGCGUGAGUGAUGAAGGCCUUCGGGUUGUAAAGCUCUUUUACCAGGGAUGAUAAUGACAGUACCUGGAGAAUAAGCUCCGGCUAACUCCGUG